rnacentral:misc_RNA from 1 species
GUAGGUGAACCUGCGGAAGGAUCAUUACCGAGAUAUUUCUGUGCUUGUCAUGGAAUCUCCCACCCUUUGUGUUGCCUAAACUUUUUAUACUUUGGUGAAGCGAUUCUUUUUUUGGAUGUUUUUGGUGUCUUUAGUGUCUUUAUUGAUACAAAGUACAAAAUACAAAAAAGGCCAUUGACUCUUGAGAGAGAGUGGAUGAGUUCUUCGCCAAAGGACAAAACCAAUAACUCUUUUAUUAUUAUACUAUUGUCUGAGUUUAUAUUUUAAAUAAACAAAACUUUCAACAACGGAUCUCUUGGUUCUG